UUUCAUCGAAGGUCCUACUUAUACAACUUUUCGUUCUAGUACUUGGCUCAUUCUCAAAGCUCAGCCAUGGGGAGCUGUGGCUGGAACUCCCAUUGCCUUUCGACUGGCCACCAGCGGAGAUCCCAUUGCCGGAUAUCCCAUCGCCUUUCGAUGGGCCUACAUUCGUGCUACCGCCACCGUCACCAUUGCCAUCACCACCUCCGCCAUCUCCAUCACCACCUCCGCCAUCACCAUCACCACCUCCUCCGUCGACAAUACCACUUAUUCCUCCUUUUACCGGCGGCUUUUUGCCUCCUUUGCCCGGCUCUAAGCUUCCUGAUUUUGCCGGCCUUUUGCCUCUGAUUCCCAACUUACCUGAUGUGCCUCCCAUAGGUGGUGGUCCACCUGUUAACCAGCCAAAGCCGUCGUCACCAUCACCCCUAGUUAAGCCGCCACCACCACCACCUUCACCAUGUAAGCCAUCACCACCUGAUCAGUCUGCAAAGCAACCACCACAACCUCCUCCAGCAAAACAACCAUCACCUCCACCUCCUCCACCACCAGUUAAGGCACCAUCUCCAUCUCCAGCAAAGCAACCACCACCUCCUCCACCGCCAGUUAAGGCACCAUCUCCAUCUCCAGCCACUCAGCCACCUACAAAGCAACCGCCACCGCCGCCACGUGCUAAGAAAUCGCCUCUUCUACCUCCUCCGCCACCAGUUGCUUAUCCGCCAGUUAUGACACCAUCUCCAUCACCGGCUGCUGAGCCACCUAUUAUAGCACCAUUUCCAUCACCACCAGCGAAUCCACCCCUCAUUCCCCGUCGACCAGCACCACCAGUAGUUAAGCCGCUUCCACCUUUGGGGAAGCCCCCAAUCGUCAGUGGCCUUGUUUAUUGUAAAUCCUGCAACAGCUAUGGGGUUCCCACUCUGCUCAACGCCUCCC
rnacentral:lncRNA from 1 species